UGGGGAAUAUUGCACAAUGGAGGAAACUCUGAUGCAGUGACGCCGCGUGAGUGAAGAAGUAUUUCGGUAUGUAAAGCUCUAUCAGCAGGGAAGAAGAUGACGGUACCUGACUAAGAAGCACCGGCUAAAUACGUGCCAGCAGCCGCGGUAAUACGUAUGGUGCAAGCGUUAUCCGGAUUUACUGGGUGUAAAGGGAGCGUAGGUGGCAAGGCAAGCCAGAAGUGAAAACCCGGGGCUCAACCGCGGGAUUGCUUUUGGAACUGUCAUGCUAGAGUGCAGGAGGGGUGAGCGGAAUUCCUAGUGUAGCGGUGAAAUGCGCAGAUAUUAGGAGGAACACCGGAGGCGAAGGCGGCUCACUGGACUGUAACUGACACUGAGGCUCGAAAGCGUGGGGAGCAAACA
rnacentral:rRNA from 1 species